UGCGAUCAGGAAUGCAGUUAGUUUAUUUUUUCUUUUUAAGAAAAGAAAUAAUGUGCAGUAGCAGUGAUAGCUACUAGGUGAUCAACAGUUUGUCACCGACACUAAUUAAAGGGGUAGAUCUGGCUAGGGAAGGACCCUUGAUAACCGAUCGAUGAAUAUCUAACUAGCUGCAUGCGUUUGAGAUAAGUAGCUUACAAAUUAUAUAUUUUUAAACUUGUAAACGAUAUAUUUUGUGUAAAAUGUUUGUAAAUAAAAGAUCGAAAGCUAGAGGACCAAUUAAGGCUGAAAGCGAAACAAGUGGCAUGCAUGCUUGAUGUAUUCAUCUCUAGCUAAUCUACACGU
rnacentral:lncRNA from 1 species